rnacentral:rRNA from 1 species
CCUACGGGAGGCAGCAGUGGGGAAUCUUGCGCAAUGGGCGAAAGCCUGACGCAGCCAUGCCGCGUGAAUGAUGAAGGUCUUAGGAUUGUAAAAUUCUUUCACCGAGGACGAUAAUGACGGUACUCGGAGAAGAAGCCCCGGCUAACUUCGUGCCAGCAGCCGCGGUAAUACGAAGGGGGCUAGCGUUGCUCGGAAUUACUGGGCGUAAAGGGAGCGUAGGCGGAUAGUUUAGUCAGAGGUGAAAGCCCAGGGCUCAACCUUGGAAUUGCCUUUGAUACUGGCUAUCUUGAGUACGGAAGAGGUAUGUGGAACUCCGAGUGUAGAGGUGAAAUUCGUAGAUAUUCGGAAGAACACCAGUGGCGAAGGCGACAUACUGGUCCGUUACUGACGCUGAGGCUCGAAAGCGUGGGGAGCAAACAGGAUUAGAUACCCUGGUAGUCCACGCUGUAAACGAUGAGUGCUAGUUGUCGGCAUGCAUGCAUGUCGGUGACGCAGCUAACGACAUUAAGACACUCCGCCGUCGGGGAGGUACGGUCGGCGAAGAAGUUAAAACGUUAAAAGGUAAAGUUAGUACGGACGUGAGACGUAGCCGAACGGACGACGACGAGGGAAGGUUAGG